rnacentral:rRNA from 1 species
CAGUCGAGCGCCCCUCCUUCGAGCACAGACAUCGGACGACUGACGACAGAUCAACUCACAUCUGUCCUCCGUCGUUGUCCUCUGUCUUCUGAUGGAGGGGAGCGGCAGACGGGAGAGUAACACGUGGGAACGUACCCUUUGGUCCGGAACAACCCAGGGAAACUUGGGCUAAUACCGGAUAAGCCCUUACGGGGAAAGAUUUAUCGCCGAAGGAUCGGCCCGCGUCUGAUUAGCUUGUUGGUGGGGUAACGGCCCACCAAGGCGACGAUCAGUAGCUGGUCUGAGAGGAUGAUCAGCCUCACUGGGACUGAGACACGGCCCAGACUCCUACGGGAGGCAGCAGUGGGGAAUAUUGGACAAUGGGCGCAAGCCUGAUCCAGCCAUGCCGCGUGGGUGAUGAAGGCCCUAGGGUUGUAAAGCCCUUUCGGCGGGGAAGAUAAUGACGGUACCCGCAGAAGAAGCCCCGGCUAACUUCGUGCCAGCAGCCGCGGUAAUACGAAGGGGGCUAGCGUUGCUCGGAAUCACUGGGCGUAAAGCGCACGUAGGCGGCUUCUUAAGUCAGGGGUGAAAUCCUGGAGCUCAACUCCAGAACUGCCCUUGAUACUGAGGAGCUCGAGUCCGGGAGAGGUGAGUGG